rnacentral:rRNA from 1 species
UACGUAGGGGGCAAGCGUUGUCCGGAAUCAUUGGGCGUAAAGCGCGUGUAGGCGGCCCGAUAAGUCCGCUGUGAAAGUCCAGGGCUCAACCCUGGAAUGCCGGUGGAUACUGUCGGGCUCGAGUCCGGAAGAGGCGAGUGGAAUUCCUGGUGUAGCGGUGAAAUGCGCAGAUAUCAGGAGGAACACCAGAGGCGAAGGCGGCGACCUGGACAGUUACUGACACUCAACUACGAAAGCGUGGGGAGCAAACAGG